rfam:Ophiophagus hannah scaffold24806.1, whole genome shotgun sequence.
UAAACGGUCCUUUUCAGGGCCACAAAUAAAUAAAAAUGUUAACAA